UAGAGUGUGGUGGCGCCUGAGCUGGUUCCUAGGCAAAGAUGAAACAAGAACUCAGAAUGAUAAUUUGGAUUAGGAGGGUCUCAGGACAGCCCAGCCUCUGGGUGUCCCAGAGGGGUAGGUCACACUGCUUUUGAAUAUGGUUUUCUCAAUAGACUGUUAGACUUGACCACCAUCAUCCUGCUCUGCUCCUGCCUUGGCCUGGAGAUGGCAUCCAGGACCAUGUCUCCAGUGAAGGUGCAAUGUAUCCUUAGAAGCCAGCUAGAUACCUGGCAGGUAGCUUAUAUAGUAGCAGCUGGACUUUCAGAGGUUCUGAUUACUUCCAGUCUGGUACUCAAGGGGCAGCACCCUGUGGGUGUGGGAGCUGCUUUAGGUCUCUUAUCUUGAACUGAAGGGAUGUGUGGGGGCCUCAAACUGCUGUCUUCCCUGCAGUUCUUAGGGACAUCAGCUCAGAGGAUACAGUGAGGCCAGCUACUGAUCUUUCCAGUCCCAUGAAAACUAUUAACUGGAAGUUUUCAUGUGGUCCUGGGUGGAAGCAGCUUCCAGCAGCAGGGACCUGCUGUCCUGCACAGAUCCUCUGCAGGGGUCCCUAGGAAUGGGAGACACAUCCAGCUUUCUCUGUACCUCUGCUCACCUGUGUGCAGAUGCUAAACAUCUGAUCAGGUGUCACAGCCAAGGACAGCAGAGUUCUGAGGGGGAAGGGGCACCUUAGGGCGGAGUUCUAACUCUAAGUACCUCCAAGCCACCUGUCCUCAGGAGAGACCACGUGUCUUCCUUCCUGUUCACUAGGACUAGAGAAUGUUGCCCAUGAUGCCCUGAGGAUUCUUCUCUAGAGCCUCCCUGUACUUCAGAAGCAUGGGAAGGCAGCCUCUGUAACUACUUGGCCCAUUCUGGGUUUUGCCAUGUACUUCCUAGCCCACUCUGACCUUCCAGGUUAGGUGUUUCCAAUGAGAGGACUUGGGACUUCUGUUCUCACAUGUGAUCUUAGGUAGGGGAUUUCCAGCCCCAGUCCUGCAUCUUAUUCAGUAGCACAACUAUUCCCUGCACCUUUUUUUUUUUUUUUAAACAGACUCUCCACUGUAUACCCCAGGCUAGCCUGGAGUUUGCAGCCAUCACGUCUUUGUCUCCUGAAAACUGGGAUUAUAGGUGUGCAGCACUAUGCAUAGCUAGCAUGUAAAUUUCCAGUUAGUUUGGGAAUUGAUAAUUAGGUCGUAUCACAGCUUAAAUGUGUAGUAAAGGCACUGCCUCCCUGCUAACUCAUUUCCUCCUUCAGUGCAGUGGUUUGUAUGUAAGAAGACCUAUGUUGAGUUCAGUGACACACAUUUGAAAUUGCAGCAUUUGGGAGCAGGAGGAGGGGGGAGUACAAGGUCAUCAAGAUGGUUCACUGAGUAACACCACUCGCCAGAACCCAAAUUAGGUUCUCAGUAUCGACACCAUGCAGCUCACAAAAGGAAGAAUAAAUCCAUUGACACUGGAGAGAUGGCCAAGUAGUUAAGCUUGUACUGUUCUUUUGGGUGUUUUUAAGACAGAGUCUGUCUCACAUAAUCUGGCUGUCCUGAAACUUAACUAUGUAAAUUAGGCAGCACUGUCUGCUUCUGUCUCCUAAGUACUGGGAUUAAAGAGGUGUACUGCCAUGCCCAGUGGUAAGGGCGUGUGUCCUUGCAGAGGACCAAAGUUCAGUUUCUAGCACUCAUGGUAAUGGCUCACAACUGCCCAUAACGCCAGCUCUGCUGACUUCCCUGGGCAUUAUACUUACCAUAAUAUACCCUCCCUCCCCAAAAAAGAAACAAUUAAAAAUAAAAUCUUUUUCUU
rnacentral:lncRNA from 1 species